AUGAACGCCUCUUCUGCGCUGGGCCCUGAUGGCCUCCCUGUCAUUUUCUUCCAGACCUUUUGGAACGUGAUUAAACUGGAGGUCAUGGCCAUCUUCGAAGAAUUCUUUGUUGGAUCUAUUGACCUAGGGCACCUCAACUACGGGAUCAUCUCUCUCAUUCCCAAGGUCCUUGGGGCGUCCGACAUCCGCUAGUUCCAGCCGAUCAUGGUCAUUAAUGUGAUCUUCCAGAUUCUGGACAAAGGCUACGCCAAUAGGGUGACCCUGCUUGCCGACUGGAUAACCCACCCUAACCAGUCGGCCUUCAUUAAAGGCCGAUAUAUCCUUGAUGGAGUCCUGGUCCUCCAUGAGGUCCUUCACGAGGUCCGGACCAAGCGCCUUAGGGCGGUCUUUCUGAAGAUCGAUUUCCACAAAGCCUACGACUCUGUUAGCUAG
rnacentral:rRNA from 1 species